UACGUAGGGCGCAAGCGUUGUCCGGAAUUAUUGGGCGUAAAGAGCUCGUAGGCGGUUUGUCGCGUCUGCUGUGAAAACCUCAGGCUCAACCUGGGGCUUGCAGUGGGUACGGGCAGACUAGAGUGCGGUAGGGGUGACUGGAAUUCCUGGUGUAGCGGUGGAAUGCGCAGAUAUCAGGAGGAACACCGAUGGCGAAGGCAGGUCACUGGGCCGCAAACUGACGC
rnacentral:rRNA from 1 species